rnacentral:rRNA from 1 species
AACGAACGCUGGCGGCAGGCUUAACACAUGCAAGUCGAACGCCCCGCAAGGGGAGUGGCAGACGGGUGAGUAACGCGUGGGAAUCUACCCAUCUCUGCGGAAUAGCUCCGGGAAACUGGAAUUAAUACCGCAUACGCCCUACGGGGGAAAGAUUUAUCGGGGAUGGAUGAGCCCGCGUUGGAUUAGCUAGUUGGUGGGGUAAAGGCCUACCGAGGCGACGAUCCAUAGCUGGUCUGAGAGGAUGAUCAGCCACAUUGGGACUGAGACACGGCCCAAACUCCUACGGGAGGCAGCAGUGGGGAAUAUUGGACAAUGGGCGCAAGCCUGAUCCAGCCAUGCCGCGUGAGUGAUGAAGGCCUUAGGGUUGUAAAGCUCUUUCACCGGUGAAGAUAAUGACGGUAACCGGAGAAGAAGCCCCGGCUAACUUCGUGCCAGCCGCCGCAGUAAGAC